rnacentral:misc_RNA from 1 species
GAUGAAGAACGUAGUGAAAUGCGAUACGUAAUGUGAAUUGCAAAUUCAGUGAAUCAUCGAGUCUUUGAACGCACAUUGCGCCCCCUGGUAUUCCGGGUGGCAUGCCUGUCCGAGCGUCAUUGCUGCCCUCAAGCACGGCUUGUGUGUUGGGCCCCGUCCUCCGAUCCCGGGGGACGGGCCCGAAAGGCAGCGGCGGCACCGCGUCCGGUCCUCGAGCGUAUGGGGCUUUGUCACCCGCUCUGUAGGCCCGGCCGGCGCUUGCCGAUCAACCCAAAUUUUUAUCCAGGUUGACCUCGGAUCAGGUAGGGAUACCCGCUGAACUUAAGCAUAUCAAUAAGCGGAGGA